GCUAGCAAUGCGCGUCUGUGAUUCAGCCGGCUAGUCUUGCCGAGUUGCCGUGUGGCGGAUCCGAAUGGACUGUCGGCGGUAGCGGCGGUGGGCGAGCUAUGGUGCACUUCAUGGGCGCGCGCGUCAGCGUCGGUUCUCGACGGACGACAAGGUGCGUGGGGAAGGUAGCUCGGUCUUCGGACGGAGUGUUAUAGACCCGUGCGCUGGGUUCGUCGUGGGACCGAGGAGAGAGAUGAUCGCUGCGGCACCUGCCUCUCGGGGCUAGCCAGCUGUUUGUCAGGUGUGCGCCAGGCGCCGAGGACUGCACGCAGUGCUUGGUGUUGCGGUGUGAUCUGGCGGCGGUGUGGGUAUAGAGGUGCCUAGGACGCUGGCGUCCAAAUGGCCGUGCACGACCCGUCUUGAAACACGGACCAAGGAGUCUAACAUGUGCGCGAGUCUUAGGGUGUGCAAGCCCUCGGGCGCAAUGAAAGUGAAGGUUCGGCGCUGGUCGAGCUGAGGUGAGAGCUACUGCUGGCCUGUUGCCACGGUGGCGCAUCAUCGGCCGGUCCAUCCUGCUCUCAGGGGGAUCCGAGCAAGAGCGUAUUUGUUGGGACCCGAAAGAUGGUGAACUAUGCCUGAAUAGGGUGAAGCCAGAGGAAACUCUGGUGGAGGCUCGUAGCGAUUCUGACGUGCAAAUCGAUCGUCAAAUUUGGGUAUAGGGGCGAAAGACUAAUCGAACCAUCUAGUAGCUGGUUCCCUCCGAAGUUUCCCUCAGGAUAGCUGGAACUCGUUGACACAGUUUUAUCAGGUAAAGCGAAUGAUUAGAGGUCUUGGGGGUGAAACACCCUCAACCUAUUCUCAAACUUUAAAUCGGUAAGAAGCGCGACUUGCUUAACUGAAGCCGCGCAACCAAUGUGAGUUCCAAGUGGGCCAUUUUUGGUAAGCAGAACUGGCGAUGCGGGAUGAACCGAACGCUCGGUUAAGGUGCCAAAGUCGACGCUCAUCAGACCCCAGAAAAGGUGUUGGUUGAUAUAGACAGCAGGACGGUGGCCAUGGAAGUCGGAAUCCGCUAAGGAGUGUGUAACAACUCACCUGCCGAAUCAACUAGCCCUGAAAAUGGAUGGCGCUCAAGCGUCGCACCUAUACCGGGCCGUCGUCGUAAAUGCCAGGCGACGACGAGUAGGAGGGCGCGGUGGUCGUGAUGCAGCCCUUGGCGUGAGCCUGGGUCAAACGGCCUCUGGUGCAGAUCUUGGUGGUAGUAGCAAAUAUUCAAAUGAGAGCUUUGAAGACCGAAGUGGAGAAAGGUUCCAUGUGAACAGCAGUUGGACAUGGGUUAGUCGAUCCUAAGUGAUAGGGGAGCUCCGUAUCAAAGUGCGCAAUCGGUCUCGGCCGCCUUGCGCCACCUAUCGAAAGGGAAUCGGGUUAAUAUUCCCGAACCGGAAGGCGGAUAUUCUCUGGCUCUCGGGUCAGGAGCGGCAACGCUAGCGAACCGCGAGACGUCGGCGGGGGCUCCGGGAAGAGUUGUCUUUUCUUUUUAACGCAGUCGCCAUCCCUGGAAUCGGUUUGCCCGGAGAUAGGGUUGGCUGGCUCGGUAAAGCAGCACACUUCAUGUGCUGUCCGGUGCGCUCUCGACGGCCCUUGAAAAUCGCGGGGGUGUACUGAUUCUCGCAUCCGGUCGUACUCAUAACCGCAUCAGGUCUCCGAGGU
rnacentral:rRNA from 1 species